GUGCCUAACACAUGCAAGUCGAACGGGGACUCUUUGGAUCAAGGCUUCGGCCAAGUGAAUUUGAGUUUAGUGGCGAACGGGUGAGUAACGCGUGAGCAACCUGCCUUUCAGAGGGGGACAACAGUUGGAAACGACUGCUAAUACCGCAUAACACAUUCGGGGGGCAUCCCCUGAAUGUCAAAGAUUUAUCGCUGAAAGAUGGGCUCGCGUCUGAUUAGCUAGUUGGUGGGGUAACGGCCCACCAAGGCGACGAUCAGUAGCCGGACUGAGAGGUUGAACGGCCACAUUGGGACUGAGAUACGGCCCAGACUCCUACGGGAGGCAGCAGUGGGGAAUAUUGGGCAAUGGGGGCAACCCUGACCCAGCAACGCCGCGUGAAGGAAGAAGGCUUUCGGGUUGUAAACUUCUUUUACCAGGGACGAAGACGUGACGGUACCUGGAGAAAAAGCCACGGCUAACUACGUG
rnacentral:rRNA from 1 species